rnacentral:misc_RNA from 1 species
UUGAAAUCAAACUUGGCUUCACCUCUCGCGGAAACUCACCAACUCACUUCUCCCCCCACCAAACUCAUCACCGACUCGACUCACUGAUACCCAGUCCGGUGACUCCACUGUCCUCAGAGUCACUCUUUUUCCGAAGCCCAGGUACUGAGUCAUCGUCGUCUCCAACAGUUUCAGAGGAGGAGAAGGCGAUAGCAGAGACGGUUUUAUCUGCAUCCAUCACCGCUGACU